rnacentral:rRNA from 1 species
CCUACGGUGAGCAGCCGUGAGGAAUAUUGGUCAAUGGGCGAGAGCCUGAACCAGCCAAGUCGCGUUAGUGACGACGGUCCUACGGAUUGUAAACCUCUUUUGUCAUGGAGCAAGGAGCGCCACGAGUGGUGCGGCGAGAGUACCUGAAGAAAAAGCAUCGGCUAACUCCGUGCCAGCAGCCGCGGUAAUACGGAGGAUUCGAGCGUUAUUCGGAUUUAUUGGGGUUAAGGGGUGCGCAGGCGGAAGCGGCAAGUCAGCGGUAAAAGUGCGGGUCUCAAACUCGCCGAGCCGGUGAAACGGCCCUUCUAGAGUGGGCGAGAAGGAUGCGGAAGGCGGGGUGUAGCGGUGAAAUUCAUAGAGAUCACGGAGAAUUCCGAUUGCGAAGGCAGCAUACCGGCGCCCAACUGACGCUCAUGCACGAAAGCGUGGGUAUCGAACAGGAUUAGAUACCCUUGUAGUC